AUCUAACUGACGAGUCUCAAAUUUGACAAAACGUACGUCAUGGAU
rnacentral:hammerhead_ribozyme from 1 species